rnacentral:rRNA from 1 species
UAACGGAUAGAGUGCUAAGUGUUGGAGGGUUUCCGCCCUUCAGUGCUGCAGCUAACGCAUUAAGCACUCCGCCUGGGGAGUACGACCGCAAGGUUGAAACUCAAAGGAAUUGACGGGGGCCCGCACAAGCGGUGGAGCAUGUGGUUUAAUUCGAAGCAACGCGAAGAACCUUACCAGGUCUUGACAUCCUUUGACCACUCUAGAGAUAGAGCUUCCCCUUCGGGGGCAAAGUGACAGGUGGUGCAUGGUUGUCGUCAGCUCGUGUCGUGAGAUGUUGGGUUAAGUCCCGCAACGAGCGCAACCCUUAUUGUUAGUUGCCAUCAUUCAGUUGGGCACUCUAGCAAGACUGCCGGUGACAAACCGGAGGAAGGUGGGGAUGACG